rnacentral:sRNA from 1 species
UACUAGCCCCGAUGGAAACGGCAUACUUUUUCUUUUUUGAAAUGGCAAAAAGCUUUGGCAAAAAGAAAAAGAUACAGUGGACAGCGGGAAAUAGC